UACGUAGGGUGCAAGCGUUAAUCGGAAUACUGGGCGUAAAGCGUGCGCAGGCGGUUCGUUGUGUCGGCGGUGAAAGCCCCGGGCUUAACCUGGGAAUGGCCGUUGAAACUGGCGAACUGGAGUGUGGCAGAGGGGGUGGAAUUCCGCGUGUAGCAGUGAAAUGCGUAGAGAUGCGGAGGAACACCGAUGGCGAAGGCAGCCCCCUGGGCUAACACUGACGCUCAGGCACGAAAGCGUGGGGAGCAAACAGG
rnacentral:rRNA from 1 species